GCUUUUCUAAACACUUGCUUCUUCUCUAGUCUAACAUGCUGCUGGACAUUUAUUUUGCAUGUUUUACUGCAUUAUACAAACAUUUACGGUGAUACUCUUGAUACGCCUGAUUUUUCCAUUUGUUCCUUCUUCUCACUGUAGCUUCUGGUUAGUGCAAGCUUUUUCUUUACUCGGCGAACAUAAUUUAUUUUAAGACUAACUCCUAAAAUGUUUAUGAUAUAUUGCUUCUUCGUUCCCCUUCUUCGAAUGAUAUGAUCAUAUGGCGAGCAUAUGUACUUCUGUUGCAAAUGCUUUGCCUCGGUGUCAAUGUUUUUUGAGGAAUGCAUGAUUAAGGACCUGAGGGAACCCAUGUAAGAUACUGACAGUUGUCACCUUUCCUUGAAUGGUUCACACAUUCCCAAAGUUUGAAAGCAAAUGUAAGACAUCAAGCACUUAAUCAUGCCUCUAUCCGAAAUGAUUGGCGUCAUCUAGAUGAAUCCACUACAUUGUACGUAACACAAAAUGUCUAGCACAAAAAAAAAAGAUAUCAAACCUUUUCUUUCUCCCCUUCAAAAAGAUGUUUGGUUGGGAUAACAGGGUGUUUCAUCUUAGUAUGUAAAUAGGAAAUGAAG